GACGAACGCUGGCGGCGUGCCUAACACAUGCAAGUCAACUUGACUGAAGGAGCAAUCUGACAGUAGAGUGGCGCAAGGGUGCGUAACGCGUAAGUAACUUGCCCCAAGGUAAGGAAUAACGUCGAGAAAUACGGCGCUAAUACCUCAUAAUGCAGCGGAUCCGCAUGGAUAUGUUGUUAAAGGUUUACCGCCUUGGGAUAGGCUUGCGUCUGAUUAGUUAGUUGGUGUGGUAACGGCACACCAAGGCUACGAUCAGUAACUGGUCUGAGAGGAUGAUCAGUCACACUGGAACUGAGACACGGUCCAGACUCCUACGGGAGGCAGCAGUGAGGAAUAUUGGGCAAUGCUCGAAAGAGUGACCCAGCAACGCCGCGUGGAGGAUGAAGGUAUUCUAUAUCGUAAACUCCUGUGAGAGCAGACGAAAGACAGAAUUAUUAAUCUGGAUGACUGUAUGCUCAGAGGAAGCCCCGG
rnacentral:rRNA from 1 species